rnacentral:rRNA from 1 species
UACUGCAUUUUUUCUUACACAUGUGUUUUUCUUUUUUUGAAAACUUUGCUUUGGUAGGCUACUAUAUGGGGCCUGCCAGAGAUUAAACUCAACCAAAUUUUAUUUAAUGUCAACCGAUUAUUUAAUAGUCAAAACUUUCAACAACGGAUCUCUUGGUUCUCGCAUCGAUGAAGAACGCAGCGAAAUGCGAUAAGUAAUAUGAAUUGCAGAUAUUCGUGAAUCAUCGAAUCUUUGAACGCACAUUGCGCCCUUUGGUAUUCCAAAGGGCAUGCCUGUUUGAGCGUCAUUUCUCCCUCAAACCCUCGGGUUUGGUGUUGAGCGAUACGCUGGGUUUGCUUGAAAGAAAGGCGGAGUAUAAACUAAUGGAUAGGUUUUUUCCACUCAUUGGUACAAACUCCAAAACUUCUUCCAAAUUCGACCUCAAAUCAGGUAGGACUACCCGCUGAACUUAAGCAUAUCAAUAAGCGGAGG